rnacentral:rRNA from 1 species
CAGUAGCCACGGGAAUACGAAGGGGGCUAGCGUUGUUCGGAUUUACUGGGCGUAAAGCGCACGUAGGCGGACUUUUAAGUCAGGGGUGAAAUCCCGGGGCUUAACCCCGGAACUGCCUUUGAUACUGGAAGUCUUGAGUAUGGUAGAGGUGAGUGGAAUUCCGAGUGUAGAGGUGAAAUUCGUAGAUAUUCGGAGGAACACCAGUGGCGAAGGCGGCUCACUGGACCAUUACUGACGCUGAGGUGCGAAAGCGUGGGGAGCAAACAGGAUUAGAGACCCCAGUAGUCCCUGUCUCUUAUAC